rnacentral:rRNA from 1 species
AUGCCCGUAACCAAGCAUACAACCGUGGACUAUAGCAAGCUCAUGGCCUUUCUGCUCCUCUGCUCUGCCGUCCUCAUCGGCACCGCCGCAGCCUACAACACCGGCGGUCACCUCCACUUCUACAUGGACGAUUUCUACACCGGCCCGAACCCCACAGCCCUGCGCGUCGUGUCCGGCCGCUCCCUCUCGCCCGACAACGGCACGGCGAGGGCCCCGACAGGGGCAGCGCGCGGGUGGGCACGGCGCAGGGGUUCGCCGUGCGGGUCGGAGGGCGGCGUGGUGUCGGACCUUAACCUGCACCUGUUCCUGGAGGCCGGCGAGUACAGCGGAAGCUCCGUGGUGGUGAAUGGCCGCGUCGACCUGGACUCCGCGACGCGCGAGUCAGUGGUCGUCGGCGGCACCGGACGGUUCCGUUUCGCGCGAGGUUACAUGCUCUCCCGGGAUUACGAAUACGACCUCGCCAAUGGCGGUGUGGUCGAGCUCGACGUCUACGUGCAAGUGCUAAGACUAGAGGCGGACACACGACCUCGCUCGCAUUUGUGCGUGCAUGCAUGUCCGCGAUCAAUAAUCCGCAGCACGUGGUGCUAG